AGAGUUUGAUCCUGGCUCAGGACGAACGCUGGCGGCGCGCCUAACACAUGCAAGUCGAACGAGCGAGAGAGAGCUUGCUUUCUCGAGCGAGUGGCGAACGGGUGAGUAACGCGUGAGGAACCUGCCUCAAAGAGGGGGACAACAGUUGGAAACGACUGCUAAUACCGCAUAAGCCCACGACCCGGCAUCGGGUAGAGGGAAAAGGAGCAAUCCGCUUUGAGAUGGCCUCGCGUCCGAUUAGCUAGUUGGUGAGGUAACGGCCCACCAAGGCGACGAUCGGUAGCCGGACUGAGAGGUUGAACGGCCACAUUGGGACUGAGACACGGCCCAGACUCCUACGGGAGGCAGCAGUGGGGAAUAUUGCACAAUGGGGGAAACCCUGAUGCAGCGACGCCGCGUGGAGGAAGAAGGUCUUCGGAUUGUAAACUCCUGUUGUUGAGGAAGAUAAUGACGGUACUCAACAAGGAAGUGACGGCUAACUACGUGCCAGCAGCCGCGGUAAAACGUAGGUCACAAGCGUUGUCCGGAAUUACUGGGUGUAAAGGGAGCGCAGGCGGGAAGACAAGUUGGAAGUGAAAUCCAUGGGCUCAACCCAUGAACUGCUUUCAAAACUGUUUUUCUUGAGUAGUGCAGAGGUAGGCGGAAUUCCCGGUGUAGCGGUGGAAUGCGUAGAUAUCGGGAGGAACACCAGUGGCGAAGGCGGCCUACUGGGCACCAACUGACGCUGAGGCUCGAAAGUGUGGGUAGCAAACAGGAUUAGAUACCCUGGUAGUCCACACCGUAAACGAUGAUUACUAGGUGUUGGAGGAUUGACCCCUUCAGUGCCGCAGUUAACACAAUAAGUAAUCCACCUGGGGAGUACGACCGCAAGGUUGAAACUCAAAGGAAUUGACGGGGGCCCGCACAAGCAGUGGAGUAUGUGGUUUAAUUCGAAGCAACGCGAAGAACCUUACCAGGUCUUGACAUCCGAUGCAUAGUGCAGAGAUGCAUGAAGUCCUUCGGGACAUCGAGACAGGUGGUGCAUGGUUGUCGUCAGCUCGUGUCGUGAGAUGUUGGGUUAAGU
rnacentral:rRNA from 1 species